rnacentral:rRNA from 12 species
CUUGGAAGCCAAACAGGGCCAUGCCUGGUUUAGUACUUGGAUCGGAGACCAACUUGGAAGACCAGGGGCCACUAUGC